UGAUGUUUUCCGAGAGAGACCCGGUGUAUCGGGCGCCGAAGAGGCAAGCUUUUAUGUGUUGGUGGCACAUCAGGAAGUGAAACUUUCAGGCAAAAGGACCGGAAAACGUAC
rnacentral:ncRNA from 2 species